AAACGGUUAAAAAAAAUUAAAAAAAAAAGGCUUGCAACUAAAAAAACACGAGCGAUACAGAGAAAGGGAAGGAGAGAAAAAAAAAAGCUUGCGAUACAGGGGAGAGACAGAGUUCGUGCGGCCGGCCAUCACCAUCCCUUGCCAGACUUAGACCACCGGAACCGGCACCGGUAACCUAAAGGUGCAUGCAGGAAUUGAGAUACGGAGAUAGAGAGAACUACCACCGGUAUUUGGGUUACGUUUGGUUUGGAUUUUAAAAGAGAAUUGAGGCUACGGUGAUUUUCUCUUAAUGGGAUUUCGCCAGAAUCAUCUGACUGUUGGGAAGACAAUACGGUUUAAUUUUUUUGUUUGUUGAGAAACCUCCCCCUUUGCAGUUGGUUGGCCAAUCAUUAAUUCUAUUAAUGAUUGGAUUUAGAAUGUCAGGUUAGUUGGGUGAUAACAUGGUUUUAAGUUGCAGAAGUAUCUAACAAUGAUUUAUCAUAUAUAUUUUGAAUUUGAGGUAAUGUACCUACUACAAAUGCUUAGUCACAUAAAAAUAUUAAUAGAGAAAGACAAAAGGAUAUUUAAUAUGUUAUUCAGCUGAAGAUAUGGCUGAUAGGGCUGAUAGCAAGGCAAGUUAUUCUUUUUGGAAAAUUUUUAAAUGAGCCAAAAGCAACUUCUAAAUUGAGUUCUAUUUGUAAUAUUGCACUUUAUGUAUAUACUAAUGUUUCUCCUGUAAUUAUGUGACUCAUAUGGAUUUGUUGUGCUAGGGAAAUCAUGGUCCAAUCCCAAUACUUUUUUGCAGUGCAUUUGCAUCAAGUAGAAUUCAUGUAUGUAAUUUCAGCCAAUCUGAUGUAGAUAUGGGAAUAAGGAAAAAGUAUACCACUAAUGCUUGGGAAGCUUAAGUAUACCGCUGAUAAUAUAGCAGUCCUAUAGGUAAGUGCUCUGCUUAUAAUCCUUUUGGAGAUUACUUUAUGGGGAUAUUUAGAUUUUCUUAAGAAUUUUGAUUCAUGGGAACUGUUUUUGUUAAGGUGGUGAUGUCAUUGUUACAAAAAGAGGAAAAUGAAGUUUAUAAGAGGCCUAAAUCUGGGAUAAAGAAAGGGUAUUUCUUUCCCCAUUGUUAGGAAGUUUGAAUAUGCAAAAUAUUGAUAACCUAAUAAAUUUUUGUUAGUUAUGUUGUCACUUUUGUUCGUGUCAUCAACCUAAAAGGUAUAAGGUACCGUGAUUGAUAAAUUAAAGUGCUUCUUAAGAACUUUUUAUACAUUUAUUUUUAUCCUACUUAGUUUUUGAAAAUAUUUUUUUCAUCUAUUCUUUGUUUGCCAAUAUCUGUUUCUUUCUAAUGGUCAAGGUUUCAGUGAGUUAUUUGUUAAAGUUAUAUAUUGUGUUGAAUUCUUUUUUAUUUUAUUUAUCAUUUGCAUCUCUUUUUAAAAAGAAAAGUUUUGCACAUCACUUUUUAAAAAAGAUAGCAUCCUAAAGCCGUGGAAGGUAAUUAGAAGAAGCCAAUAUAUAUAUAUAUAUAUAUAUAUUUUUUUUUUUUUUGGCAGUGUAUGCCUAAGUUUUUGUUGUCUUGGUUCCUUAUUUCUUUGCCAUAGUCAAACAUUCUAUAUAUUUGUUUUUUGCUUUUUAUAUUUUUUGUUGGCUUGAUGAGCGCAGGGGAAAGUUUCCAAAUUCUUAUUAAACUUGCAAGAUUAUGAAUACCCACACACCAUUUUGAUAUACAAUUCUUUCUCUCUCUCUCUGAAUUCAGUUAUGCCAGAUUAUUUUUGUCCAAGAUCAGUAUUAUGCGGAAGCAGCAUGUUGAUUCGUAUAAAAAAGAGUGGUGGAUUGGGUUCCAAUAACUUUCUUUUUGGGGACCUGAAUUUGAAGCAAAGAAAUAGAAAGAGAAUGUGUAAUACAGAAUUCAAUUUAAUUUUCAGUUUCUGUUUUCCAUCCUACCUGUUCUGUUUUUGAAGAGUGAUUGAAAUUGUAGAACUUUGAAAUCUGAAAGUGUAAUGUUUUUUAUACAAAGUUGAUUAUCUCUUAGAUUUUAGUUAA